CCGCUCGCGCCUUCACGCUGCCCUCCUCCUCCUCCUCCACACACACACACACACACACACACACACACACACCGACCCGCGCCACCAUGGCCACCCGCCGCCGCCCUUCCUGCAAGCCUUCCAACUCGCACAAGUCGCACCGCAAGCCUAAGCGCUCGUGGAACGUGUACGUCUGCCGCUCGCUGAAGGCGAUCAACGCCCAGAUGUCGAUGUCGCACCGCACGAUGAAGAUCGUGAACUCGUACGUGAGCGACGUGAUGGAGCGCAUCUGCACUGAGGCUGCGGUGCUUGUUCGCACGAACAAGAAGCGCACGCUGGGUGCGCGCGAGGUGCAGACGGCGGUGCGCGUUGUGCUGCCGGCGGAGCUCGCGAAGCACGCCAUGGCUGAGGGCACGAAGGCCGUGUCGAAAAUGUGCCAUUAGUUCUUUGUGUGCUGGAGCCAUCCCUACACCGCUACGCAUGCCGGCACACGUGCCUGCGAUCUGCGUAGCGGUGCGCGCCUUCAUGUGUGGGCUUUUGGGACCUGCCGUACGCCGGGUGGCAGAGGGGGGAAGAAGCGCAAGGUGGCCACGAUGGCGACCAUGGCGGAACAUGCAGGGGAGGGGGCGGACGCGAAAGCUCUUUGGCGGAUGAGGGGAACGCACACCUCGUGAACGUUGUUCGAUGCCACCGCUUCCUCGUAGGAACAUGCUGACAUGUUGCCCCCCUCCCCCCACUUCUCUUGUCUCCUGCUCAUGGUCGGCGCCCCGCCCUCCGCUGCUUUCCUUUCGCUUCUCAUUUUUUACGUCUCUGGUGCUUGUAUUAUUCACGCGACACACACAACGACCAUCGCUCCAUCCACCGUGCGCGUGUGUGCGGGGGAGGCAGCACGCACGCGCCAUGCCAGCGGGAUGAAUGUGAGGGUCUACGCGCUCCAUGUGUGUUAUGCCGUACGCAGCCGAAAAGGCAAGG
rnacentral:misc_RNA from 1 species